rnacentral:rRNA from 1 species
AAUGAACGCUGGCGGCAGGCCUAACACAUGCAAGUCGAACGCGUGGCGGACGGGUGAGUAAUGUCUGGGAACCUGCCUGACGUACGCGGAUAACUACUGUAAACGGUAGCUACUACCGCAUACCAUCGUAUGUGCCCAGAUUGGAUGAGCUAGUGGGUGGGGUAAAGGCUCACUUAGGCGACGAUCCCUAGCUGGUCUGAGAGGAUGAGCAGCCACACUGGAACUGAGAAACGGUCCAGACGCCUACGGGAGGCAGCAGUGGGGAAUAUUGGACAAUGGGCGCAAGCCUGAUCCAGCAAUGCCGCGUGAAUGAAGAAGGCAUUCGGGUUGGAAAGGACUUUCAGUGGGGAGGCGGUACCCGAAGAAGAAGCAACGGCUAACUCCGUGCCAGCAGCCGCGGUAAUAC